UACAGAGGGUGCGAGCGUUAAUCGGAAUUACUGGGCGUAAAGCGCGCGUAGGCGGUUUUGUAAGUCGGAUGUGAAAUCCCCAGGCUUAACCUGGGAAUUGCAUCCGAUACUGGAUGGCUUGAAUCCGGGAGAGGGAUGCGGAAUUCCAGGUGUAGCGGUGAAAUGCGUAGAUAUCUGGAGGAACACCGGUGGCGAAGGCGGCAUCCUGGACCGGCAUUGACGCUGAGGAGCGAGAGCCAGGGGAGCAAACGGG
rnacentral:rRNA from 1 species